CCUACGGGAGGCAGCAGUAGGGAAUAUUGCUCAAUGGGGGAAACCCUGAAGCAGCAACGCCGCGUGGAGGAUGAAGGUUUUCGGAUUGUAAACUCCUUUUGUUAGAGAAGAUAAUGACGGUAUCUAACGAAUAAGCACCGGCUAACUCCGUGCCAGCAGCCGCGGUAAUACGGAGGGUGCAAGCGUUACUCGGAAUCACUGGGCGUAAAGGGCGCGUAGGCGGGAUAGCAAGUCAGAUGUGAAAUCCUAUGGCUUAACCAUAGAACUGCAUUUGAAACUGUUAUUCUAGAGUAUGGGAGAGGUAGGUGGAAUUCUUGGUGUAGGGGUAAAAUCCGUAGAGAUCAAGAGGAAUUCUCAUUGCGAAGGCGACCUGCUAGAACAUAACUGACGCUGAUGCGCGAAAGCGUGGGGAGCAAACAGGAUUAGAUACCCGAGUAGUC
rnacentral:rRNA from 1 species